rnacentral:lncRNA from 1 species
GCUUAAAAGACAAAAGUCCAGCCCAUUCCAUUCACCGAAGGUGUCUUUCUCGGCGGUCGAUUUGCCAGAGCUAUUGCCUCUUCCUGUUCAGCUCCAUCACCAUCAAUUCGAUCGUCCACCGUCUCCGAUCAGUUACGGCCGCCGUCAAAUCUCCCUCGCCGGCCACCACAGCCUCCGCCGUAACGGAGCGGAGCAUCGACGCUCAUCACCGCCGAUCGGACUUCUCUCGUGCUCUUUCUCUCUCGUCUUACGCAUUUGGAGACUCCUUUUAAGCUCACGGUUGCGCGCGUGAGAGCCCGAGGAACCGAGUCAAGCAAGAACGCGCGCACGGACCGAGAAAUCCAUCGCCUAGCUUUGUCUUCAUGAGAUUCUCGAAGUCUUUUAGUGUCUUUCAUUUAUUAGCAAGAUACGGUCGAUUCAUUGAGACUCAAUCAGUCGAUUGUUCUAUAUUGCCUUUUGCCGAAAGCUUCAAAUUGUUAUCUCAAUUGUUGUCUAUUAUUUGGUCUCAGAUUCGUCGAUUCCUCUCUAGUAACUUUAAGCUGGGUUUUUCAUGUUACAUUCCUCGCCAAUUGAUGGGAGUUCCUGUUUGUAUAACACCUCGCCGUUCAUGCUCACCACCCGCUCGAUGUUUUGCCUCGGAGAUGACAAUGAUGAAUUCAUUGAUCAAUAAUAGUAUCUUGCUGCGAUGCUAGUUGGCAUCCGUCAAAUGCCACAUGUUUGCUGCUAUUGCCUUUCGGUAUGUUCAGGCUUAGCUUGGUGUUGACAUGCUCCCUUCAUCGAUUGCAAGCAUCCUUAUGUCAAACUUUUGCUCUCGAUUCCAUAGAUGGUCUGUAGUCCUAGUGAAACAAUCCAUAUAAUUAGCAAUGAAGUUUCUCUAUCUUCAAGUUGCGUUGGCUGGAUUAGUCGGCUUCUGCUCCAUAUCUUGGAGUUCUCUGAUGGACUUCUGCUCAUUGAAGAAGUCGAUUGCCCGGGCAUAGGUGUCUUGGAAUUGUAGGUGCACGAUUCUGCUAGCCAUAGCAGGAUAUCUGACUAGGAGAUAGCGUACAUCAAGACGAACGCCUGCUAAUUCUAGAUCUCGGCCUGAUGUUGUUUUGAAUGUGGGCAUCUUCCAGACUUGUACGUUCUUUGGGGUGGCAGCACGGUUCAAUAGCAAUGUGCCAAGUUAUAACACUCCAGUCGAAAUCCAGAUCAAGAAUCCAUUUGGAAGUACCCAACGUUUUAGCCCAAUCGAGUAUGCAACUGCCUCUAAAGG